UCUUAACAUACUAAAAGUCUUAAAAUUCUAUCUUCAGAAUUUUAUAUUCUAGUUCAGUGAGAGAGAGUUCAGAUUGUGUUUAUAUUGUUUAGGAGAAUAAGCAUUCCAUUUUUGACGUUGCCUUCUCAAUUAAUAGCAUAACCAAGAUAUGUUUAAAUUAAAAAAGGACGACUGACCAGUGAGUGUGUGUGCACAAUCCAUGAAAGAAACAUAUAAGAGAUGAAGGAAUGAGCCAAAACACAUACAGAGAAAAGCAGUAACAAAGGUUUUGGUUGGGUUUCAGGGGUUUGAUGAAGCUAAACGAACAAUCGAAAUAUUCAGUUCCCCGGCAAUGUCAAGAAACUGAUCAUUAAAAACAAUUAAUAUCUACAGACUAAUCCAGUUGCAGACUCAAACCCGCUUCACAUCAAGAGAUUGCUUUGAAAAAAAGACAAAAACUUGUGUCCCACUUGGCUUCAUAAUCUGAACAAAAACGCGAGUCCCUAAUUAGGAAUUGGUGUCUUCUCCUGUACCUGUACGCACGGUCCAAGACUCGUCACCUUAAUUGGUUUUCACCGCGUCGGCCACAUAAACUGUGUGCACAUCGUAGCAGCAGCGUCGCGGCCAGAGCAGUCGGGAAUUGGAGAGGGGGAAGAAAAAGUUUGUCGUCGCCAGGGUGACGCAUUGGAU
rnacentral:misc_RNA from 1 species